rnacentral:rRNA from 1 species
AUACGUAGGGGGCAAGCGUUAUCCGGAUUUACUGGGUGUAAAGGGAGUGUAGGUGGUCUGGCAAGUCAGAUGUGAAAGCCCGCGGCUCAACUGCGGGACUGCAUUUGAAACUGUCAGACUGGAGUGCAGGAGAGGAAAAUGGAAUUCCUAGUGUAGCGGUGAAAUGCGUAGAUAUUAGGAAGAACACCAGUGGCGAAGGCGGCUUUCUGGACUGUAACUGACACUGAGGCUCGAAAGCGUGGGGAGCAAACAGGAUUAGAUCCCCUGGUAGUCCACGCCGUAAACGAUGAAUACUAGGUGUCGGGUGGCAAAGCCAUUCGGUGCCGCAGCUAACGCAAUAAGUAUUCCACCUGGGGAGUACGUUCGCAAGAAUGAAACUCAAAUGAAUUGACGGGG